UGGGGAAUAUUGGACAAUGGGCGGAAGCCUGAUCCAGCAAUACCGCGUGUGUGAAGAAGGCCUUAGGGUUGUAAAGCACUUUCAAUAGGGAGGAAAAAGGUAAGCUUAAUACGUUUGCCCUUGACAUUACCUAUACAAGAAGCACCGGCUAACUCCGUGCCAGCAGCCGCGGUAAUACGGAGGGUGCAAGCGUUAAUCGGAAUUACUGGGCGUAAAGCGUGCGUAGGCGGCCUGUUAAGUCAGAUGUGAAAGCCCCGGGCUCAACCUGGGAACUGCAUUUGAAACUGGCAAGCUAGAGUUGGGUAGAGGGGAGUGGAAUUUCAGGUGUAGCGGUGAAAUGCGUAGAUAUCUGAAGGAACACCAGUGGCGAAGGCGACUCCCUGGACUCAAACUGACGCUGAGGCACGAAAGCGUGGGUAGCAAACAGGAUUAGAUACCCGUGUAGUCCCUGAGCGGGCUGGCAAGGCGCAU
rnacentral:rRNA from 1 species